UACGUAGGAGACGAGCGUUGUCCGGAUUUACUGGGCGUAAAGAGCGCGCAGGCGGUCGUGCAAGUCGCGUGUGAAAGCCCCCGGCUCAACUGGGGAGGGUCACGCGAUACUGCUCGACUCGAAGGCAGGAGAGGGAAGUGGAAUUCCCGGUGUAGUGGUGAAAUGCGUAGAUAUCGGGAGGAACACCGGUGGUGUAGACGGCUUUCUGGACCGUAACUGACGCUGAGACACGAAAGCGUGGGUAGCAAACAGG
rnacentral:rRNA from 1 species